rnacentral:rRNA from 1 species
AGUGAACGCUGGCGGUAGGCCUAACACAUGCAAGUCGAACGGCAGCACAGUAAGAGCUUGCUCUUACGGGUGGCGAGUGGCGGACGGGUGAGGAAUACAUCGGAAUCUACUUUUUCGUGGGGGAUAACGUAGGGAAACUUACGCUAAUACCGCAUACGACCUACGGGUGAAAGCAGGGGAUCUUCGGACCCUGCGCGAUUGAAUGAGCCGAUGUCGGAUUAGCUAGUUGGCGGGGUAAAGGCCCACCAAGGCGACGAUCCGUAGCUGGUCUGAGAGGAUGAUCAGCCACACUGGAACUGAGACACGGUCCAGACUCCUACGGGAGGCAGCAGUGGGGAAUAUUGGACAAUGGGCGCAAGCCUGAUCCAGCCAUACCGCGUGGGUGAAGAAGGCCUUCGGGUUGUAAAGCCCUUUUGUUGGGAAAGAAAAGCAGCAGGUUAAUACCCCGCUGUUCUGGCGGUACCCAAAGAAUAAGCACCGGCUAACUUCGUG